GCAUCGAUAGCUCAGUGGCAGAGCGGUGGGGCGUUUACCCAUGCGGCCCGGGUUCGAUCACCGGUCGAUGUA